rnacentral:tRNA from 1 species
AGUCCUUGGGAGGAACGUUUUCCCCCUUUUCUGGUUUACAAGACCAGGGUAAUGUGCGA